AUGCGAAGGUCCCAGCAGGGAGGCGAGUUACUCAUAUUGUUGAGGCCUCUCUAACAAUGAAAUUUAACACCCUUCGCAGAGUUAUUUGCCGAAUCGUAAGAUGCCCAAAUUUUUCUUUCAUUUUGGUGCAUCUAGAACCCUCGGCUAUAUUUUU
rfam:Glycine max cultivar Williams 82 chromosome 16, whole genome shotgun sequence.